GAAUCUUUCACAAUGGACGGAAGUCUGAUGGAGCAAUGCCGCGUGAGUGAAGAAGGUUUUCGGAUCUUAAAACUCUGUUGUGAGGGAAGAAAAAGUACGAGAGUAACUGCUCGUACCUUGACGGUACCCCAUUAGAACGCCCCGGCUAACUCCGUGCCAGCAGCCGCGGUAAUACGUAGGUGGCAAGCGUUGUCCGGAAUUUGUGGGCGUAAAGCGCGCGCAGGCGGUCCUUUAAGUCUGAUGUGAAAUCCCACGGCUCAACCGUGGAAUGUCAUUGGAAACUGGGGGACUUGAGUACAGAAGAGGAAAGCGGAAUUCCAAGUGUAGCGGUGAAAUGCGUAGAGAUUUGGAGGAACACCAGUGGCGAAGGCGGCUUUCUGGUCUGUAACUGACGCUGAGGCGCGAAAGCGUGGGGAGCAAACA
rnacentral:rRNA from 1 species